rnacentral:rRNA from 1 species
CAUGCAGUCGAGGGGCAGCACAGGUAGCAAUACUGGGUGGCGACCGGCGGAUGGGUGCGUAACGCGUAUGCAACCUACCAUUGAUUGGGGCAUAGCCCGAAGAAAUUCGGAUUAAUACUCCAUAAUAUUCAUCAAAGGCAUCUUUUAUGAAUUAAAGCUUUUGCGAUCAAUGAUGGGCAUGCGUGACAUUAGUUAGUUGGUGAGGUAACGGCUCACCAAAACGAUGAUGUCUAGGGGUUCUGAGAGGAUUAUCCCCCACACUGGUACUGAGACACGGACCAGACUCCUACGGGAGGCAGCAGUGAGGAAUAUUGGUCAAUGGACGCAAGUCUGAACCAGCCAUGCCGCGUGCAGGAUGACGGCCCUAUGGGUUGUAAACUGCUUUUCCACGGGAAGAACCCUCCGACGUGUCGGAGACUGACGGUACCGUGGGAAUAAGCAUCGGCUAACUCCGUGCCAGCAGCCGCGGUAAUACGGAGGAUGCAAGCGUUAUCCGGAUUUAUUGGGUUUAAAGGGUGCGUAGGUGGGCUUAUAAGUCAGCGGUGAAAUCCCCCGGCUCAACCAGGGAAUUGCCGUUGAUACUGUUAGCCUUGAGUACAGUUGAAGUGGGCGGAAUGUAGCAUGUAGCGGUGAAAUGCAUAGAUAUGCUACAGAACACCAAUAGCGAAGGCAGCUCACUAAGUUGUAACUGACACUAAUGCACGAAAGCGUGGGGAUCAAACAGGAUUAGAUACCCUGGUAGUCCACGCUGUAAACGAUGAUCACUCGUUG